CCUGGAGAUUUCUUUUGGGGGAGCUUUUAAAUGACAAAUUCAAUUUCCUUAAUAGUGAUGGGACUUUUCAAAUGAUCUACUUCCUGUCAGGUGAUUUAUGGUAGUUCCUGCUUCUCAAGGAAUUGGUACUUUUCAAGAUGCCAUUGUUACUCUUCAGCAAAGCAUCUUGUCAGUCCAAUUGUGGAUAGCUGGGUCUCAGCCAUUUAUGUUCCAUUGAAAAUGUCAUUGCAUAUUGAUACCCAGUCCUGUGUCUAUGGCUUUCUCUCUCUCCAGAGACUUAGGAUUUUUCUUUAUCCCUAAAGUUUUGGAAUCCCUCAGUAAUGUGCCUUGGUGCCCAAGGAAAGAAUGCUUUCACCAAAAAUCCCAGACACACUUCUGUUGGGAGCUGAGCCUGACCCUGGACAUCUGGAGCUCCUAUGGUACUGAACCAACAGGCAGAGAAUGACUUGCUCUUCUGACCAGGAAGACUGACCCCAAUUACUAGAGAUGACGGUGCUGCUGUUAUACAAGGACUGACAUCUAUGGACUACAUCACAAGGCUUACUUGCCUUCUGAUUCCUAUUUGGGUUUGACAAAUCGGAGGUUCCAAAAGGAUUCAGAAGAUGGAAGAAGAAAGCAGUUAAGGUAUUUACUCCCUCCUUUCUCACUUCUUCCUUGCCUUGGGUGAUUCUGACUCUGGCUGUGAUCUCUAAUUAUAGUCUCUCUUCCAUGGCUUCAAGCUCUCUCUAGAUUCUGGAACACUAUUCUCUCUCCUUGCUGGUUUUGGGCCUAGGGAUGGAAGGUAAGUCUAGCUGUUGGUAAUCUCUGUGUGCUCUACAACCCCUUCUCAGUAUCUCAACUGGACCCACAUCUCUGUAAAUAUUUUCUUCUCUAGACUAUCUACAGUUAAACCCUUUGAGUGCACUGCCAGGACUCUUUCUGCACACAUACUAAAUGUUUUGAUACCUUACAUGUCUGCAAAGAUAAGUUUGGUUUGGAAAUCCACUGAAUCCAAGGUUGUGGGAACAAAAAGCACAAGUUCUCCAAGUGGGUUAUUAGAAUAAAACAAGAGGAGCCACUCCUUUCUACUCCAUGUUUUUCUUGUAAAGAUAAAUAUAAAUUUACCAUAUGACCCUGAAAUCACACUCCUAUGUACUCACUCAAGUAAAAUAAAAACCUAUAUUCAUACAAAAACCUGUACAUAAAUAUUUAAAGUAGAUUUAUUUGUAAUUUUUUAAAACUGGAAACAAUGCCAAUGUCCCUGAGUUAGGGAAUAAACAGUCUGUGCUAUGUCCAUAUGAUAGAAUAUCGCUCAGUAGUAAAAGAAGCAAACCACUCAUAUACUCCACUUAGAUGGAUCUCAAGGGUAUUAUGCUGAAGGAAAGAAACUAGUUUCAAAAGGUUAUAUACAGUGAUAAUUCUGUUUAUAUGGUAAAAUUUUAGGGAUGGAGAAUCAAUCAAUAGUUACCUACAAUUAAGCAAGAAAGAGUUUGCAUCUAAAACGGUAGCAUGAUGGAAAUUUCUUGGAUAAUGAAAUUGUUCUACAUCUUGGUUGUUCUGGUGAUAACACAGUUCUGCACAUUUGUUGAAAGGAAUGAAUUUUACUGUAUGGAAUUUUUAAAUGAAAAAAUUUAAGGGAAGUAAUAAAGGAAAAGAACCAGGUGAUAGACACACUGCAGAAUUCUGGGGGGAGGGAAGAGUUUCCAGUAGAGUAUCAAUAAGAUGUCUCUAUUUAUUUACUAUCAGUUAUCCAUACAGUCAGUAACCUAUACAUCCAAAAGUUCACUCACCUUCACUUAAAUAGAAGUGGAGGUCAUCUCACCCCAGAAUCAAAAACUCAGAAACUCUGGAAUUUCCUUCUUAGUGGGAACAACAUUCCCUCCUGCAUGCCCUUCCACAGAAAGGCAGAAGUUCUAUUUCUGAGCAAAAUGGCCCCACAAAAUGGACUGUUCCUGCAGAGGCCACUAUGCUUGGUACCAUCUACCCUACCACUCUGGCCACAACUGACUGCUUUUGGACCUGGCACAAAGCCAACAGCCCUUGAGGUGGCCCUGAUGUGACUGAGAAUCUGCUCUAUGUGUACAUCUUUUGCUGCCUGGUGAGUAACAGAAAAAAAUCUCUCUCUUCUGGACCAUAAGAUACACAGGAUGGGGCACAGAAAAAAAAGACACAAAUGAUCAGACUGAACAAAAAGUAAGACCCAACCAUGUUCUAACUUUCAAGAAAUGUACAUUCAAUAUACAAACAGAAAUAAGCAGGUAAUAAAAGGACAGAAUGAUAUAUAUCAUGCAGUCACUUAUAUAAGAAAGCAGUUUUGCCAAUGUUAAUAUCAAAGUAGACUUUUAAAAAUUAGCUUUAAAAGGUCAAGUACUGUAUGAUUCCACUUAUGCAAGUUACCUAAAAUAGUCAAAUUCAUAGAGACAGGAAGUAAAAUGGUAGUUAUCAGAGGCUGGGGGAGAUGAGAAUGGAGAGUCAUUACUUAAGAGGUGCAGAGAUUCAUUAUGCAAUGAUGAAAAGGUCCUGGGAGUUUGGGUUCUGCAAGAUGAGAAGAAUUCUGGAGAUGGAGAGUGGUGAUGAUGACUGCACAACAAUAUAAAGGUACUUAAUGCAACUCAACUGUAUGAUUAAAAUGACUGAAAUAGUAAAUGUUAUGUUACAUAUAUUUUAUUACAAAAUAGCUUUAUUAAGGUACAAUUUAUAUGCAAUAAAAUUCGCCAAUUUUGAGUACAUAACUCUUAAUGACUUUUGACAGAUGUAUACAGUCAUGUAAUCUCAAAACAAUCAACACAUAGAAUAGUUCAGGGGCAUCUGGGUGGCUCAGUUGGUUAGGCAUCCAACUCUUGGUUUCAGCUCAGGUCAUGAUCUCAGGGUCAUGGUACUGAGCCCCGAGGCAGGCUCU